CCAUGUGGUUAAUACCCAUAUGCGAUGACAUUAGCUGCAGAAUAAGCACCGGCUAACUCUGUGCCAGCAGCCGCGGUAAUACAGAGGGUGCAAGCGUUAAUCGGAAUUACUGGGCGUAAAGCGAGCGUAGGUGGCUUGAUAAGUCAGAUGUGAAAUCCCCGGGCUUAACCUGGGAACUGCAUCUGAAACUGUUAGGCUAGAGUAGGUGAGAGGGAAGUAGAAUUUCAGGUGUAGCGGUGAAAUGCGUAGAGAUCUGAAGGAAUACCGAUGGCGAAGGCAGCUUCCUGGCAUCAUACUGACACUGAGGCUCGAAAGCGUGGGUAGCAAACAGGACUAGAUACCCUGGUAGUCCACGCCGUAAACGAUGUC
rnacentral:rRNA from 1 species